rnacentral:rRNA from 1 species
CCCUUAGAUGUUCUGGGCGGCCCGCGCACUACAAUGGCGUGUGCAGCGAGUGCCGAAGUAGAGUUUUCCGAGGUAUUCUUGCAAUGCUCGUUUUGAUGGGGAUAGACCCUUGCAACUGUUGGUUUUGAACGAGGAAUUCCUUGUAAGCAUGGUUUAUCAUCCGACGCUGAAUGCGUCCCUGCCCUUUGUACACACCGCCCGUCGCUCCUACCGAUGAGUCGUCCGGUGAAGUUCGUAGACCUCGUGAUCGCGGAUCACUGGGGGAAGCAAAAUGAACCUCGCGGUUUAGAGGAAGGAGAAGUCGCAACA